CUAUUCGCGCUCGGCAUCUUGCGGCGGCGGCGGCUCCCCUGUCCUCUUCCCUAGGCAGCGGCGUUCGGCUUCCCUCCCCUGCGCGGCGGCGUGCGGCUACCCUCUCCUGGGCAGCGUGCGCGCAAAAGGCUGCCGCGCUGCGAGCGAGCAGCGGGCAAGCAGCAGUUGCGUUCAUCGGCAGCGAGCAAGGAGUGGACGUGGCGAGCAGCAAGCAAGCAGCAGCAGCGGGCGAUUCCUGCAGCAGCAGGCAAGGCUAAGGAGUGGCCGACGGAUCGAGAUCCAUACUGUUGUGUGCUGCUGCUCCGAUUCUUCUUCAAGCUUCUGCAUCUAGAGUUCAGAGCCAGACACGAGACAUUGGUUGCUAAUGGUGAGCUAGUCUCAAUUCUCAAUCUUAAACUAAUGGCUGGUAAUUCCACUGCUAAUGGUUAGUAAUUGCAUUACUUUGGUUUUUAUUAAUGUGAUAUAUUCGGCUGCCUAUUAGUGUCAAUGCCGAAUACACUGAUAAUGACAUAUUCAAUAAGCUUAUUUUUUGUGAGGUUGUGUUCCAGUAACUCUGUGACUGUGAGCUUGUGGUUUUAUAUUUUCUAUAUUUCUAUGAUGUAAGUAUGAAUUAUGUAUGAAGAUGAAAGUUAUGUUAUUGUCAUCAGGCACUCUAUGUUUUAAAUUAUGAACAUGUCAUUCUAUAUAUACAUAUUUAUGAACCUUCUAGUUGUGCAUUGAAAUUUAUGUUAUUUAUCAUCUACCAAUUAUUAAUUAUAGCAUAUGUAUAAUUAUUUAUAUAUAUAUACCGGUUCGAAGUAUUUGUCACCGGUUCGAUUUGUCCGGUCCAAAAUAAUUGAACCGGCGGUUCAACCGGUUUGAAACAGUUGGACCAGUGAACCAACGGCCUCGCUGGUUCGAUCUCCGGUCCGGUUCUAAUAACUUGGACCGUGGUAGCCUAGGCCUGCAUGCUACUGGGCACGACUGUGGUUGUGCUAGACCAAAAAACUAUGGGCUUCAUGUGGGGUCGUCAUGCCGCGGGUUGUAUGGAUAUUUAUAAUGAGAACCCACCAAUUCAAGCCAAAGUUUGACAAAUGUGUGUCUGGCCAUGCAGAGGAAUGCAUGUUGCCAGCUCACACAACUUCAUAGGUCCUGUUCGCUUGGCUGAAAAGCUAUGAGUGAAAGUAUUGUUUGUUAAUUUGUUGUGAAAAAGAACACUAUUAAAUGACCGACAGAUUCGAUAACAUGGAUGAGACAUUUUAUUAUAAACUCAAACGAACCGGCUAAUGGGCGAGACAUUUUUAAUUUGUGUUAAGCUUACGUGAUCAGACGCAUUGUCCUCCAAAACAAUAAUAAUAGCACUACGGAGUAUAUAAUGAGGAUAAUGGUACACAGUAGGCUAGUUUUAAUGGAGUUUUUUAGAGUUUUAUGGACAUUAAAUAUGUUAAUAUGACAUCAUAUUAAUAAAGAGAGAGAGAUACCAAGAGUUUUAUGGAAGUAGAGAAAAUUUUAUAAGAAUAAAACUUUUCUACACUGUUUCUAAAAUAUUAAUGUAUUAGAAACUGAGCUAUGAAACAUGCAAGCCGGAUGCAACAGCCCUGAACCCGGGUCAAACCAAGACUCGUCUCUGGCAAGUGGUAAGGGUGAUUAGCUCCUGUUGCGCUUGCUGUGAACCACUCAACUGCUUGGGCCCAUUGUUUAAGACCAAAACAUUUUUUUUGACAAGAAACAGAAUGCAUUUAUUAACAGCAAGAUGUUGUGAUUAACGUUACAGAAGGAAGGGAAACAAAGUUCAGCGCCUGUAAAACAGGGCACUGGUCACCAUG
rnacentral:lncRNA from 1 species